rnacentral:rRNA from 1 species
GACGAACGCUGGCGGCGUGCUUAACACAUGCAAGUCGAACGCUGAAGCUCAGCUUGCUGGGUGGAUGAGUGGCGAACGGGUGAGUAACACGUGAGUAACCUGCCCUCUUCUUUGGGAUAACGCCCGGAAACGGGUGCCAAUACUGGAUAUUCACUGAUUCUCGCAUGGGGGUUGGUGGAAAGGUUUUUUCUGGUGGGGGAUGGGCUCGCGGCCUAUCAGCUUGUUGGUGGGGUGAUGGCCUACCAAGGCUUUGACGGGUAGCCGGCCUGAGAGGGUGACCGGUCACAUUGGGACUGAGAUACGGCCCAGACUCCUACGGGAGGCAGCAGUGGGGAAUAUUGCACAAUGGGCGAAAGCCUGAUGCAGCGACGCCGCGUGAGGGAUGGAGGCCUUCGGGUUGUAAACCUCUUUCGCUCAUGGUCAAGCCGCAGCUUUGGGUUGUGGUGAGGGUAGUGGGUAAAGAAGCGCCGGCUAACUACGUG